UGGAGUGGGUUGCCAUUUCCUCCUCCAGGGGAUCUUCCCGACCCAGGGAUUGAACCUGGAUCUCCCGCAAUGUAGGUAGGUGAUUUACUAUAUGAGCCACUAGGGAAGCCGAACCAGUUAAACCAGUAUAAACGAGUAUAAACCAGUACAAAUGAGUAAGUGAUUUCAAAGCACAGUUGAGGGAUUCCCUGGUGGCUCAGUGGUAAAGAGUCCGCCUGCCAAUGCAGGAGUCAUGGGUUCAAUCCCUGAUCUGGAAAGGGCCAGAUGCCGCUGGGCCCCUAAGCGCAUGCGCCACAACUACGGCACCUGUCCUCUGGAGCCCGGGAGCUGCAGCGACUGAACCCACUCGCCCAAAUUACUGAAGCCAGUGUGCUCCAGAGCCCGUGCUCCACAACGAGAGAAGCCACCGCAAUGAGAAGCCUGCACACAACUAGGAGUGGCAACUAGAAAAAGAAGUCCAUGCACUGGGAUAAACACCCAGCUCAUUCAAAAAUAAAUAAAAUCAUUUCUUUAAAAAGAAAAAUACAGUUGGGUAGGGUGGGGGCUGGCUGCAGCCUCAGACGGGGACCUUCUCUCCCCUCACCAGUGUCCAGGAUGUGGGACUGGGUGCUGGAGACAGGCCAGAGCCCGCUAUAGAGCCCAAACCGGAGCUGAUGUCAGCAAGAACCUAUGGAAUAUUCCCAGCCACCGUUCUCCAUAUGGCUGGCCUGGUCCAGCCUCACCACAGAGUGUAAAAGUAGCUGAACUGUCGGGCCUCAUGACAGGAGCUGAGAGGACCACGUCUUUUGUGUGGUACCCAGUAGGCUGGGCCGGUGGCAAGCCCUUCCGGCAAAGUGGGGAAGUCUGCCAAGCUGGAAAUGGAUGGGCAGGUCUGCGCCCCACCCUUUCCUCAGGUGAAAAGUCAUUUGCAAGCCUAUAAUUCCUAUGUUUAGUAAAUAUGCCAAUUGCUUCUUCUUGGGCAAUUUCUUUUUUUCCUCCUGUGCAGUUUUUAAAAAUGGAAACCGGAUCCGAGGCUUCGCGGUCAACGGCUUAUUUGCGGGCCCCGCCGCAGCCGACCCGGCUCUUCGGUGGAGAGACGAUGGUGGGCCGGAACAGCGCCAUCGCCGCCGGCGUCUGCGGGGCCCUUUUCAUCGGUUACUGCAUUUAUUUCGACCGCAAGAGACGGAGUGACCCCAACUUCAAGAACAGGCUGCGAGAACGAAGAAAGAAACAAAAGCUUGCCAAGGAGAGAGCUGGGCUUUCCAAGUUACCUGACCUUAAAGAUGCUGAAGCCGUUCAGAAAUUCUUUCUAGAAGAAAUACAGCUUGGUGAAGAAUUACUAGCUCAAGGUGAAUACGAGAAGGGUGUGGACCACCUGACGAACGCCAUUGCUGUGUGUGGGCAGCCGCAGCAGUUACUGCAGGUGCUGCAGCAGACGCUCCCGCCGCCGGUGUUCCAGAUGCUUCUGACCAAGCUCCCAACGAUCAGUCAGAGAAUUGUAAGUGCUCAGAGCUUGGCUGAAGAUGAUGUGGAAUGAGAAACAAUUAUCAACAUAAUGAUAUCAAUUAAAACAUAUUUUUAAAAUCUUAACUCGGAAGAUGAUCAGCUCUGGGGGAGUAAGGGCAGAUGAGCUUGUUAUGGACUGUCCUCCACAGUGAAGUCUACCAAAGUUAAUUUUUACUUUGUGUAGAUCCAUUUGUCUGUUUUAUUUAUUUUUCCCAGUGAAAAGUGUAUUUUGAUAGAGAGCUUUUCAUUUUAUAAAUACACUAUGAAUUACUGAAAUAUGCAUUUUGUUUAUUCCUAAAAUGUGUAAUUAGAAUGUACAUAUAACAUCCCAUUACUUACAUUAAAAAUACCCGGUGCUCAGUUUUGAAAGAUGGGCCCAAAAAAGUGUAGAAGAAAACUGAAGAAUAUACUUGUUUUGCUCUACAUCAGAAAGUUGGCUGGAAACUUGUGUUGAUCAAAACUGAGCAUUAAAAUAAGAGAUUAUUUCUUUCCAUUUAAUCUCUUAAAUAUGUGUAAUGUGCUGCUAUGCUAUAAUAACAACUUCACCCCCACCCUUGAAUGUUUUCUUUAAAUCAGUGGGUUUGAUGUGUUCUGAAUAUUUAUCUCCUUGUAUUUUAGAUACAUGUAGUUGCAGAUAGCACCAGGAAUUAGAUGUCUAUAUAUUCUUAAUCUGGCUGAGUAAGCUUUACCAGUUAAUGUCUGCCCACUUGCCUCAUAUAUAAACUGAGGAAAUGGGUCUGCUAAUUCAGCUUCUAAUUCCUUUGGUUCUGUGCAGCAUUUUCAAAUCCCUCUUUCUGAGGGAAAUACCUGUUUGGGCCGCCAGCCCUUGCAUUUUUUUAUACUCUGAAUUUUGCAUGCUUGCCUGACUUAGUAUUUCUGAAUUGGUUUUUUAAAAGGUAUAACGUGUUGAUUUUCAGUGAAACCAUGGUUCUGUCACUACUUUUGUAAAUUAACCUGAAACGUAACCUUCACGGUAACUGGGACGAUAUGCUUGUAAAAGUGUUGGUUCCCUUUGCUUUUCUCCUCUGUACCUCCUUAAUCCCCUACCAACCCUUAUCUUGUGUGAGAAUAAGGUGUACUUUGUGGCUGAAGACUUGAAUGAAGAUAAUGGGACCUUUUAUUCUCUACAUAGUGACGAAUUAUCUGCAGCCACAGAUUGAAUAUCAGACCUAAGAAUAAAGCUCCUUGGUACUUAAAAAAAAAA